rnacentral:rRNA from 1 species
UACGUAGGCAGCAAGCGUUGUUCGGAGUUACUGGGCGUAAAGGGUGCGUAGGCGGCUUUUUAAGUUUGAUGUGAAAUCUCCCGGCUCAACUGGGAGGGUGCGCCGAAUACUGAGAGGCUAGAGUGUGGGAGAGGAAAGUGGAAUUCCUGGUGUAGCGGUGAAAUGCGUAGAUAUCAGGAGGAACACCGGUGGUGUAAACGGCUUUCUGGACCAUAACUGACGCUGAGGCACGAAAGCGUGGGUAGCAAACAGG